rnacentral:lncRNA from 1 species
AAAAAGGUUGUAUUUGUUUUCAUUUGUAUUCAGCAUAUUGUAAUUGAACAAAAAAAUCAAAAAAGAAGAAGAGGAAAUUCGAAAAAAAUUCAAAAAAAUUCAAAAAAAAAGAGUGUGAAGUUUGGAAAGUAUUUGCAAGUUCUGAAUUCUUUUUUUCUAUUAGUCCCAAUCACCGAGAUCAUUCUACCAUUUCUUCUACCCCUCCCAAAAAAAUGCCACACAUACUUUGAUUUUUUUUUUGUUUCAGCCUACCCUAUACACCCUAACGUUAUCCCUUGUAACCCAAUUUGAAGCCGACCCUCUAAGCCGCAAUAAGUCUUCUUGAAAAAAAUACGAAUUCACAAGGGUGAGACGAGUAGAAAAAGGCACAAGAGGUGAGUACAUUAGAGCAAGCAAAAGCCUUAAAGACAGAGUUCAAA